rfam:Ochrobactrum pseudogrignonense strain K8 chromosome 1, complete sequence.
GCUUACCGCUUGCGCCUCCUCCCAUUGCGCGCGGUAAGUGUUCCCCUCUGGAGGUUUGCCUUUAUGGCACCUUCAUAACUUAGCCGGACUUUUUAGUCCGGCUCUUUUU